UCGGUUUGGACCGGAAGUCACGUUAUUUUAAUUCAAAAAUUUUUUUCCAGAACAGUUAGAUAGAUGAUUCUAAAAUUUUUGCUGAGAUAAUUAGCAUACAUGAUCAAUUAUACAUCAGUGACAUGUGAUAAACAAUAAGAGAUGUUCAGAAUUGUAUUAGUAUAGUUUUUCGUCCCACAUACUAAUUUUAUCCAGGUAAGUUGAGGCAGCGUAUGGCAGGUGAGCACGUGUUAAGUGACGCACCUGCGCCGUUAACCACAGUACGUAAACCCAAGCUACACACACAGACAGUUUGCGUGAAGAACUCGUAAAAGAAUCAUAUCUUCUAUGUUAAGAUGCGAUGAGUUGUACGUAACCACGUGACAAGUACUGAAAGGAUUUUUAACUGCGACCGUCUAUCAUCAACAUCUUCAACUUUCUUUUUUCUUUUUGUUUUCUUCCUGCCGUUCCUAGAAAAUUACUUGCUAUAUCGAUUAUUGCCAGGAUGAAGAUUAAUUUAUUUAUUGCAAUCAUCUGCGUUCUGUUGAUUAAUUCUGUUUGUAAAAGUCAAAAAAGGAUGUAUCAAGAUCACACGGUGCAAACUUACUUCAGUGAAAGGACAUGUUGGUGGAAUGAAAUCUGCAAAAAGGAAUUUCAACAGCAGUUCCGUUGCAGAUGCCCUAAAUGGUCUUAUUGCAGAUCACCUGGAAAAUAUUAUAAUGCUUACUGUACUAUGACCAGCACAGGUUAUAUCUGGUUACAAACAGAACGUAAAAAUCGCCAUAUUGGAAUUUAGCCAUAGUUGUAUAUCGUUUUUCUUCAAUUACGUCCUCUAAUUCUAUAUGUAACAAAAAAAAAAAAAUUAUUUUUAACUCUGAUAUGUAAAUUUUUGUGCAUUAUCAUCUUAUCGAUGAUAAGAGAUAUGUAGGUUAAUGCUUCUUUACCACGCGAUGCUGUAAAGAAGUUAAAAAAGAAGUUGAGAAGUCUGUUAAUGUCUUUAAUUUAAAAAUUUAUCGGUUGAUUGCCACCGUAUUAAUGAUCGUAAUUAAGUAAAUUUUUAUCAGAAUAUUUUAUAUUCUUAAAUUACUUUAGAUACAAUAUUAGCUUUAGUCAAUUUUAAAUACAUUCUCCUACGUUCGACUUAAUUAUUUAUUAUAAUAAAUAUUCUAAGAGUUGUAACAUACAUAUAUAUAGACCUAUAUAUGUAUAAAUAUUUGUUGUAAAUAAGAUUUUUAUCAAAGAAAUUAACUAAAAUCAUCAAACUAAUGUGAUAUUUUAAUUAGUUUCAUCUAAUUAUAAUUAUUAAGCAAUAAACUUGAUAUAAUUUAUGCUAAUUGUGAUUUAAAACAUAAUUAAUAACUUGUUAAUGAAAAUUGAAAAAUUGUUGGAAAGGAGGACGAGUUUGGAAAUUGCUGCAAGUGAUG